rnacentral:rRNA from 1 species
GAACGCUUGCUGCAUGCUUUAUACAUGCAAGUCGAACGAAGGCCCUAGCUUGCUAGGUGUCCUUAGUGGCGCACGGGUGAGUAACACGUGGGAACAUACCUUAUAGUACGGAAUAACUGCGGGAAACUGUAGCUAAUACCGUAUACUCCAGUAAUGGGAAAGAUUUAUCGCUAUAAGAUUGGCCCGCGCAAGAUUAGCUUGUUGGUGAGGUAAAAGCUCACCAAGGCUUCGAUCUUUAGCUGGUUUGAGAGGACGAUCAGCCACACUGGGACUGAGACACGGCCCAGACUCCUACGGGAGGCAGCAGUAGGGAAUAUUGGACAAUGGGGGCAACCCUGAUCCAGCAAUGCAGCGUGAGUGACGAAGGCCUUAGGGUUGUAAAACUCUUUCAUCGGUGAGGAUAAUGACAGUAGCCGAAGAAGAAGGACCGGCUAAUUCCG